AGGUGUGAGAGACUACAUCCAUGUUGUUGACUUGGCAAAGGGGCACAUUGCUGCCGUCAGGAAACUGAAGGACAACUGUGGGUGUAAAGUUUAUAAUCUGGGCACAGGUACAGGUUACUCAGUGCUGCAGAUGGUGAAUGCCAUGGAAAAAGCUUCAGGUCGAAAGAUUUCCUAUCAGAUUGCACCUCGACGCAGCGGUGAUGUGGCCUCCUGCUAUGCAGAUCCAACUCUGGCGGAGAAAGAGCUGGGCUGGAAGGCUGAAUUCGGCCUGGAGAGGAUGUGUGAGGAUCUGUGGCGCUGGCAAUCCCAGAAUCCCACAGGAUUCAGUAAUGGAACACAGUCUUAAAACUGGAUGAAUGCAGAAUGUUUCUUACGGAAAUAAGGGAAUUGCACACAUGGCAAAAAAAACAAACAAAGCCAAAGUGGGACCAUGAAGUCUUUCAUUUUGUAAGAAUUAUAUGUAAAAUCAUCAUAUUACAAGAAACUUGAAGCUAAACAAAUGAUUUUAUCAAAUUUAAAAUCUGUCUCUUUUGUUUUCUAAUGUCCUCCAUUUUCGUGUAAUCUCACUUUUAUCAAAGUACACUGAAUGGUUCAUUUCUAAUCUAGAAUUAUUUAUACUUCCUUGUCAGU